rnacentral:rRNA from 1 species
CUGAUCCAGCCAUGCCGCGUGUGUGAAGAAGGCCUUAGGGUUGUAAAGCACUUUCAGGGGUGAGGAAGGGUAACRAGUUAAUACCUAGUUAUUUUGACGUUAGCCCCAGAAGAAGCACCGGCUAACUCUGUGCCAGCAGCCGCGGUAAU